rnacentral:misc_RNA from 1 species
AACCAUAGAAACCUGCGGAGUACCUGCGGAGGGAUCAUUAUAGUAUAUGGAAUCUCCAUUCUAUAAACCCACUCUGCGUAUCUUGUAACUGUUGCUUCCAUGGGACUUGGUUCCGCCACACCGGCUUCACGGCUGGUGAGCGCCCAUGGAAGGAGAAACAAAACUCUUCUUGAAAUGUAGUCAGUCUGAACAAGUUUUUAUAAACGUUAAAACUUUCAACAACGGAUCUCAGAUCGGAAG